rnacentral:rRNA from 1 species
UGGGGAAUAUUGCACAAUGGGCGAAAGCCUGAUGCAGCGACGCCGCGUGAGGGAUGACGGCCUUCGGGUUGUAAACCUCUUUCAGCAGGGAAGAAGCGAAAGUGACGGUACCUGCAGAAGAAGCGCCGGCUAACUACGUGCCAGCAGCCGCGGUAAUACGUAGGGCGCAAGCGUUGUCCGGAAUUAUUGGGCGUAAAGAGCUCGUAGGCGGUUAGUCGCGUCUGCUGUGAAAACUCGAGGCUCAACCUCGGGCUUGCAGUGGGUACGGGCUGACUAGAGUGCGGUAGGGGUGACUGGAAUUCCUGGUGUAGCGGUGGAAUGCGCAGAUAUCAGGAGGAACACCGAUGGCGAAGGCAGGUCACUGGGCCGCAACUGACGCUGAGGAGCGAAAAGCAUGGGGAGCGAACAGGAUUAGAUACCCUGGUAGUCCAUGCCGUAAAACGUUGGGCACUAGGUGUGGGGUCCAUUCCACGGAUUCCGUGCCGCAGCAAA